rnacentral:rRNA from 1 species
AAUAGCCUAGCGGCUGAACCAGCAACUUGGAGGAACAAAUAGCGAAAGCUGGCUGUGUUAACGUAAAGUUAAUGUGGGAUCGACUACGUCGAAUAAAGUUCAAGGUAGAAUUAUGAUAAUGACAUUUUUCUGCACAUGUCUUGACCAAGUCACGUGCCAGCAGUCGCGGCAAUACGUGGAAGACUAGUGUUAUUCAUCUUUAAUAGGUUUAAAGGGUACCUAGACGGUAAAUUAAGCCCCAAAGGGUACUAAUUUACUAGAGUUAUAUAGGAGGGGGGGUGUACUAAAGAGUGUAGAGAUGAAAUUCUGUGAUACCUUUAUUGGAACAGGCAACGGCGAAAGCAACCCUUUAUGUAAU